CCUACGGGGGGCAGCAGUGGGGAAUUUUGGACAAUGGGCGAAAGCCUGAUCCAGCAAUGCCGCGUGUGGGAAGAAGGCCUUCGGGUUGUAAACCACUUUUGUACGGAACGAAACGGUCUGCUUUAAUACAGUGGGCUAAUGACGGUACCGUAAGAAUAAGCACCGGCUAACUACGUGCCAGCAGCCGCGGUAAUACGUAGGGUGCGAGCGUUAAUCGGAAUUACUGGGCGUAAAGCGUGCGCAGGCGGUUAUAUAAGACAGUUGUGAAAUCCCCGGGCUCAACCUGGGAAUUGCAUCUGUGACUGUAUAGCUAGAGUACGGUAGAGGGGGAUGGAAUUCCGCGUGUAGCAGUGAAAUGCGUAGAUAUGCGGAGGAACACCGAUGGCGAAGGCAAUCCCCUGGACCUGUACUGACGCUCAUGCACGAAAGCGUGGGGAGCAAACAGGAUUAGAUACCCUUGUAGUC
rnacentral:rRNA from 1 species